rnacentral:rRNA from 1 species
AUUAGGGUCGCGGCUAUACUGCAAGUCGAGCGGACAGAUGGGAGCUUGCUCCCUGAUGUUAGCGGCGGACGGGUGAGUAACACGUGGGUAACCUGCCUGUAAGACUGGGAUAACUCCGGGAAACCGGGGCUAAUACCGGAUGGUUGUUUGAACCGCAUGGUUCAAACAUAAAAGGUGGCUUCGGCUACCACUUACAGAUGGACCCGCGGCGCAUUAGCUAGUUGGUGAGGUAACGGCUCACCAAGGCAACGAUGCGUAGCCGACCUGAGAGGGUGAUCGGCCACACUGGGACUGAGACACGGCCCAGACUCCUACGGGAGGCAGCAGUAGGGAAUCUUCCGCAAUGGACGAAAGUCUGACGGAGCAACGCCGCGUGAGUGAUGAAGGUUUUCGGAUCGUAAAGCUCUGUUGUUAGGGAAGAACAAGUACCGUUCGAAUAGGGCGGUACCUUGACGGUACCUAACCAGAAAGCCACGGCUAACUACGUGCCAGCAGCCGCGGUAAUACGUAGGUGGCAAGCGUUGUCCGGAAUUAUUGGGCGUAAAGGGCUCGCAGGCGGUUUCUUAAGUCUGAUGUGAAAGCCCCCGGCUCAACCGGGGAGGGUCAUUGGAAACUGGGGAACUUGAGUGCAGAAGAGGAGAGUGGAAUUCCACGUGUAGCGGUGAAAUGCGUAGAGAUGUGGAGGAACACCAGUGGCGAAGGCGACUCUCUGGUCUGUAACUGACGCUGAGGAGCGAAAGCGUGGGGAGCGAACAGGAUUAAAUACCCUGGUAGUCCACGCCGUAAACGAUGAGUGCUAAGUGUUAGGGGGUUUCCGCCCCUUAGUGCUGCAGCUAACGCAUUAAGCACUCCGCCUGGGGAGUACGGUCGCAAGACUGAAACUCAAAGGAAUUGACGGGGGCCCCCACAGC